rnacentral:tRNA from 1 species
GGGCGAAUAGCUCAGCUGGGAGAGCGCCUCCCUUACAAGGAGGAGGUCACGGGUUCGAGCCCUGUUUCGCCCACCU